rnacentral:lncRNA from 12 species
CACGUGGGCAUCCGAAUAGCAGGGCACUAGCUAGGAAGCCACUGGACACUCUGCACCACGUUAGGAGCAGCUUUGAUCUUGAAUCUCAACACAAAACAAAAAUGAUCGCCAACUUUUUAUGCCACCAAAACGCCAGUAGAGAACACUUUCAGUUGAUUGUGCUGGCCUUUCAGAAACAUCUCCUGCUCCAGAGGGGAGGUUGGACAGUGGGGCCCUACUCAACCCUGUCUGUGCAGGAGGGCGCCUCGGAGUGCGGAGGUGAGUGCUGCGUGUGGGCCUCUAAUCCAUCCAUCACGUCCCACCCGCUGUGGGCUGAAUCGUGUCAUUCAAAUUGGUCCAUAAAGGGGUGAAAAUGAAAAUGCUGAUGAGUGACAUCAUCAGAUUACAGGAAGCCCUCGGGUGUGCUCAAGCUCACACCUGCCUUUGAGAGAUUUUGAUGAGAUUCCAUGUCCUCUAACUGGUUUCUCUUACCUCCUGGCCACCUCAGGACUGACACACUAUUUCAUGCUGUAAGUCUUUUGUUGGCUUCUCUGCUCUGUGGUUUUGGAGGUCCUCUUUGCAUCCCUCCUUCCCUGGGGUAAUGUCACCGGGGACUCCGGAGCUGGCCUCUGGGGGCAAGUGCAGUGGUUUGACUCCUGUCUCCUUGGCACAUUCUACCUCAACACCCCUAUCCCUUCGCGGCGUGGGAGGGCCUCCCAGAGGCAACGGUUGCUUUUCUUCCUCAGAUAUGUGUAUAGUUUGGUGAGAGGAAGAGGAAAGAAGAGAAAGGAAGACAAGCGGGUGGGUUGAAGAGGCUCGGGGUGAGGGGAGCAGGGAGGAGCAGGAAGGGGCAAUACAGGGAGAGGAAUAGAGUGACCCAGGUGAGGGGAAAGCCCUAGAAGUUCCUGAUCAGCCACUGGCCCUGUGUCCUGCGUCCCCUCCACGUUUUAAUGUCUCACAGCAGCUGAAAACAGGUCUGUGGGAAGUCGUAACACUCACCAAACUCUUGACAGCCGCUAUUCCUCACAGAGGCUGCGAACAAUUGCCCGCCUGCCAGUGUCUGACUGAAAUAAUAGCUGGACCUA